AGACCAUGAUGAGGGCACCGCCUAGUAAGUCCUUUUAUCUUUCCUAGGCCUCGUACAAUGAUUCAGAAUCUAGCUACAUGAACGAUGUGAUAUCAUUCCUCAUUUU
rnacentral:snoRNA from 1 species